rnacentral:rRNA from 1 species
GUGGUGACACAAAAUCGGAGGCCCCGACUGUUUACUAAAAACACAACACAGUGCAAUCAUUAAUAUGAUAGUAUACUGUGUGAAAUUUGCCCGAUGCCAUUAAUAUAAGUGCGGUCAUGGGUAACUGUGACUAAUCGAAAAUCUGGUUAAUAGCGGUCUUAACUAUGAGGAUCCUAAGGUAGCAAAAUCAGUUGGCCAUUAAAUGUGGUCCGGUAUCAAUAAUGUAACGAUGGCUUCACUGUC